AAAAAGAUAAGCUAAGUAAAGCUACUGGGUUCAUACCCCAAUUAUGGAGACACAAAUCCCCUCUUUUUA
rnacentral:tRNA from 1 species